AGAGUUUGAUCAUGGCUCAGGAUGAACGCUGGCGGCGUGCCUAACACAUGCAAGUCGAACGGAGUCGUUUUGGAAAAUCCUUCGGGAUUGGAAUUCUCGACUUAGUGGCGGACGGGUGAGUAACGCGUGAGCAAUCUGCCUUUAAGAGGGGGAUAACAGUCGGAAACGGCUGCUAAUACCGCAUAAAGCAAUGAAUUCGCAUGUUUUCAUUGCCAAAGGAGCAAUCCGCUUUUAGAUGAGCUCGCGUCUGAUUAGCUAGUUGGCGGGGUAACGGCCCACCAAGGCGACGAUCAGUAGCCGGACUGAGAGGUUGAACGGCCACAUUGGGACUGAGACACGGCCCAGACUCCUACGGGAGGCAGCAGUGGGGAAUAUUGCGCAAUGGGGGAAACCCUGACGCAGCAACGCCGCGUGAUUGAAGAAGGCCUUCGGGUUGUAAAGAUCUUUAAUCAGGGACGAAAAAAAUGACGGUACCUGAAGAAUAAGCUCCGGCUAACUACGUGCCAGCAGCCGCGGUAAUACGUAGGGAGCAAGCGUUAUCCGGAUUUACUGGGUGUAAAGGGCGCGCAGGCGGGCCGGCAAGUUGGAAGUGAAAUCUAUGGGCUUAACCCAUAAACUGCUUUCAAAACUGCUGGCCUUGAGUGAUGGAGAGGCAGGCGGAAUUCCAUGUGUAGCGGUG
rnacentral:rRNA from 1 species